UACGAAGGGGGCUAGCGUUGCUCGGAAUCACUGGGCGUAAAGCGCACGUAGGCGGAUUGCUAAGUCAGGGGUGAAAUCCUGGAGCUCAACUCCAGAACUGCCUUUGAUACUGGCGAUCUUGAGUCCGGGAGAGGUGAGUGGAACUGCGAGUGUAGAGGUGAAAUUCGUAGAUAUUCGCAAGAACACCAGUGGCGAAGGCGGCUCACUGGCCCGGUACUGACGCUGAGGUGCGAAAGCGUGGGGAGCAAACAGA
rnacentral:rRNA from 1 species